CCCAGACUCCUACGGGAGGCAGCAGUGGGGAAUAUUGGACAAUGGGGGGAACCCUGAUCCAGCGACGCCGCGUGAGUGAAGAAGUAUUUCGGUAUGUAAAGCUCUAUCAGCAGGGAAGAAAGAAAUGACGGUACCUGACUAAGAAGCCCCGGCUAACUACGUGCCAGCAGCCGCGGUAAUACGGAGGAUGCGAGCGUUAUCCGGAUUUAUUGGUUUUAAAGGGUGCGGAGCCGGCACGGCAAGCCGGCGGUCAAAUCGCGGGGCUCACCCUCGCACCGCCGUUGAGACUGGCGUUCUUGAGUGGGCGAGAAGUAUGCGGCAUGCGUGGUGUAGCGGUGAAAUGCAUAGAUAUCACGCAGAACACC
rnacentral:rRNA from 1 species